UACGAAGGGUGCAAGCGUUAAUCGGAAUUACUGGGCGUAAAGGGCGCGUAGGCGGCCUGCUAAGUCGAACGUGAAAUCCCUGGGCUCAACCCAGGAACUGCGUCCGAUACUGGUUGGCUUGAAUCCGGGAGAGGGAUGUGGAAUUCCAGGUGUAGCGGUGAAAUGCGUAGAUAUCUGGAGGAACACCGGUGGCGAAGGCGGCAUCCUGGACCGGUAUUGACGCUGAGGCGCGAAAGCCAGGGGAGCAAACGGG
rnacentral:rRNA from 1 species